CAGCAUAGCCAGCUCUCCAGGUGACCACAAAAGGCAUCUCUGGAAACAUAAGGGAAGGGAAGUGGUGGGAUGACAGCAAGUAGCUGGAAGGUAUGACUUGUGGGCAGACAUGGACUUCCAUCCUCCCUAGUGGGUGAUGUGGGCAGGUGGCAUGGGAGGGUAGAGCAGCUCGGGAGUUCAGAAGUCGUGUGGUCUCUGGUUUUGACAUGAUUCACAUGGCAAGUAUGGUGAGGCCUCCAACUGAGUCGGCAGAGUAACAGGCUUAAGGAAACAGACCCUUCCAUGUUUCCAGUUGGCAUAGCUCCACAGAACCGCUAUGCCAAUUACUUCCAGUUGAGGACUACCACUGGGUGUAUAGCUGCUUGUACUGAAGUUGUUGCAAUUACUAUCAUUAUGUUAUUUCUCGGCAAGGAAAGGAAAAAGAUGAGUGAGUUUUGGGGGGCUUUGUUUAACUGCAGUGAGCCACUUAUGCCAACCACUGAGAGCAACUUGGAGGCAAGCACAGUGAGAAGUGAACUUCUUGGAAAAAAACAGCUUUCAAA